UACGAAGGGGGCUAGCGUUGCUCGGAAUCACUGGGCGUAAAGCGCACGUAGGCGGAUAUUUAAGUCGGUGGUGAAAUCCUGGAGCUCAACUCCAGAACUGCCUCCGAUACUGAAUGUCUUCGAGUCCGGGAGAGGUGAGUGGAACUGCGAGUGUAGAGGUGAAAUUCGUAGAUAUUCGCAAGAACACCAGUGGCGAAGGCGGCUCACUGGCCCGGUACUGACGCUGAGGUGCGAGAGCGUGGGGAGCAAACAGG
rnacentral:rRNA from 1 species